rnacentral:rRNA from 1 species
UACGUAGGUGGCGAGCGUUGUCCGGAUUUACUGGGCGUAAAGAGCGCGCAGGCGGUCGUACAAGUCGCGUGUGAAAGCCCCCGGCUUAACUGGGGAGGGUCACGCGAUACUGUUCGACUCGAAGGCAGGAGAGGGAAGCGGAAUUCCCGAUGUAGUGGUGAAAUGCGUAGAUAUCGGGAGGAACACCAGUGGCGAAGGCGGCUUCCUGGCCUGUUCUUGACGCUGAGGCGCGAAAGCUAGGGUAGCAAACGGG